rnacentral:rRNA from 1 species
GUGGGGAAUUUUGGACAAUGGGCGCAAGCCUGAUCCAGCAAUGCCGCGUGCAGGACGAAGGCCUUCGGGUUGUAAACUGCUUUUGUACAGAACGAAAGGGCUCUGGAUAAUACCUGGGGCAGAUGACGGUACUGUAAGAAUAAGCACCGGCUAACUACGUGCCAGCAGCCGCGGUAAUACGUAGGGUGCGAGCGUUAAUCGGAAUUACUGGGCGUAAAGCGUGCGCAGGCGGUUUUGUAAGACCGAUGUGAAAUCCCCGGGCUCAACCUGGGAACUGCAUUGGUGACUGCAAGGCUGGAGUGCGGCAGAGGGGGAUGGAAUUCCGCGUGUAGCAGUGAAAUGCGUAGAUAUGCGGAGGAACACCGAUGGCGAAGGCAAUCCCCUGGGCCUGCACUGACGCUCAUGCACGAAAGCGUGGGGAGCAAACAGG